UGGGCCCCGCCCACCGCAUUUAAACCCCCUGGACUCAACAUGGCGGCGGCGCACCCUCGGACGCCUGACCCCGGCGUCCCCGGGCGCGGGUAAGGGGCAACCCUUUCGUGUCCAGGGCUGCUGUCCUCCAUACGCAGCGAUGCGUGUCCGUCCGCCUGCGUGCGCGUCGUAGCGCCACCUGGGGGCUGGCCCCUCCCCGGCGAGGUCGGUGACCCUGAACGACCCUCCUGCGCCGCGCGCGCCCCGGAAGCGCUGGCGUGUCUCCCGGAAGUGGUUUUUCUUCCUCUCCCCACCGUCGGGGCGGUGCCGCUGGCGGGGAAGGCGGGGUCCACGUGCCGGCUUGUGGAGAGCGGACUUCCUAGCGCUUUCCGCGUCUGGCGGUGCCUUCCCCGUUCCUGAGUAGCCUUUUUAACGGAAGCGUAAUCGGAGAGGCCGGGCCGCGGCUGUGGGCAGCGGCCACAUCGUCAGGCGCCUCGGGCUGCUGACCCAGCGCGGCUUGCCUUACCUGUCUGAGCUUCUCAGGACAGGCCGAGUCCACGCGGCCAGGAGCGGGGGCGGCCGUGUCCUGCCUUCGGGCCCUGCCGGCGGGUGGAUCCAGCAGAUGGGAACAUUGCCCCCUGCGCAGCGUGCAUGCGCACCAGGACUGCGGGAGCCCCCGCUUGAAGGGAAGACGACGGCACCCACCGUGGGCACAACUGCGGGGGUGCCUCUGUAAUCUGAAUAAGAGAGUCCACACUGCCAAGGCACACUGAACAUGCGUCAGAUACUCGGGUGCCACGGAAAUGGAUAUUCUUCAUGAAGAUGCAGAGGUGAUCCUUCAUGGUCAGAUGUCUGGGUCACAUAAAACGCAUGUUUUCCAUCGAGUUACCCGUGCAGCAUUCCUGGAGAAGUUAGAAACGACACUAAUCACCUGACGCUUGAAGAAAGUCCAUGUUUAUAUCAGUGGGAUGAAGAUGAUACGUGACUUCCAAGAGCAGCAAAAUCUUUAAGAAAAAAUAACUUACAUUGAGGAAGAUCAUACUUUUGUUAAGGAGCAGAAAGAAAUUUUUAUCCUCUAAGAUUGCUUGUUGCAGAAAAAAUACUCUGGAAAGUUUAACUGUUCAUUGACAUCAAAUUAUCCUUGAGUCUCUCUUCAACUUUAUGUCAAGGAAGAUGUUGAAAGAAAAUUAGAUCAUUUGUAUGCUUUCACCUUACAAAGUUUCACAUAAUCCAAAUGAGAAAAAUAAACACAUUUGCACCGUAUCAAGUUAAUUUUCAUACACAUGAUACUAUACAUUAAAACAUUUAAGAAUUGUGUACAAUUUCCUUUUAAAGUCUGAUGCUUUAAACUUAGAAGUUGCAGUGUUUCUACAUCUAAACCAUUACAGGAGCAUCAAAUCUAUUCUUUAUUUUCUUAGAUUUGUUUUUAUCAUAUUGGGUCCUUCAUAUUUACCAGGAAUUAGCAAAUGGUAGCUCUUUGCUGAACUUGGCUGGCUGUUUUUAUAAAUAAAGUUUUAUUGGAACAUAUCCAUCCAAGGUCAUUGUGUUUGCAUAUGUCUAUACCUGUUUUUGCUGCAGUGGCAGAGUUGAAUAGCCACCCCUAUGGCCUACAAAGACAAACAUAUUUAUAUCUCACCCUUUCCUGAAGAUAUUUGCAGAUCCCUGGUAUGUAUCAAUUUACAUCAUUUUUAUAGGACACACAGGAAAUGUUAUAAGAGAAGUACAGCUGAUUUAUUAAGUUCAGGAUUGCACUAAUGGGAGUACUGUAACUUUGUUUCAAGAUCUGCUUAAGAAAGUACAAAAAUCUAUUCAUGGUUGGCUGUGAGAAGCCUAAACUGAAAACAUUGAUACUAUACACACACACACACAUAUAUACACAUAUAUACAUAUAGAUAGAUAUACAUAUGUUUAUUUAGCAGUGAUUUGAAUUAUACAGUGCACUGCUCUAGUACAUAGUGCUGACACCAGUUUUUUAAAAAUUAUUUUAUUGCAAUUAAAAUUGUAUUAUACUUAACAUAUACAGCUGGGGUGCCCAGGUGCCUCAAUUGUUGAGUGUCUGCCUUUGGCUCAGGGCCUGAUCCCAGAUUUCUGGGAUCAAGUCCCACAUCGGACUCCUUGCAUGGAGCCUGCUUCUACUCCCUCUGCCUGUGUCUCUGCCUCUCUUUCGGGGUCUCUCAUGAAUAAAUAAAUAAAAUCUCUAAAAAAAAUAACAUAUAGAGCUGCCAACCAAAAAACUAUCACAUUAAAAUUAGAACUUUAAAGAUAGAAUGGAUUGAAGACACAACCUAAUCCUUUUUUCAAGGAGGAAAACAUA